GCCCGGAUGGCGGAACUGGCAGACGCGCCAGCUUGAGGGGCUGGUGAGCCGUAGGCUCAUGGAGGUUCGAAUCCUCUUCCGGGCA
rnacentral:tRNA from 1 species